rnacentral:lncRNA from 1 species
AGAAAUUAAAAUAUUCAAAAUCUGAACUUGUAAAGAAUAUUCCUACAUAUAAUGUUGCUGUCAAUCAAAGUUUAGUUAGGUAAAAUCAAUGAAGUAAAAGUUAACAAUGAGGUAUAUUAUGAAUAAUAAUGGUAGAUUAUAACUUUAAAUAGUUAGUCAUGCAUGAAUAAUAAGCCAGCAGCAGCUCAUUUGAGAGUGUAGAUAAAACCGGGAUUUAUUAAUUAAAUAAUAAAAAAUAUUGAAAAAAUAUUUUGUCUAUACGAAAUUCUUGGUAUCUUGCUGAGUAGUAAUAAUUCUAAUUGAUUAACUCUGAGAUAUAGAAAGAAUUAAUGCCUUUUCUUCUACUUUAGUUUGAUUUUUUUCAUGAGGACAAAGAGAUUUUGUGUCAAAAAUUGAUACAUUAUAUCUUUUCAGUCUAUCUUCUUUCUAAUGGUUUCAAGAUCCUGACAUUAAAGGGGCACUAGCUGUCAAAUUCAUGUUCAACAAUUUGACUCAAGUUCUCAUAUUUAGGUUUAUAACAAUGUACAACUUUUAUCCAAAUUAUAAAAAGUCUAAAAUAAACAAAUUACAGGGCAUGGGUUCGAUUAGGUGUAGCUUCGUUUGGUGUGUAUUUUAGUUUAGAUGCCAUCUAAUUAACUAUAGAGAUGACUCCGAUACAACAGACAGUCACAUAACUGGAUAUUAGCAUUAACAUAAAUACAAAGAGAUAUAUGGACCUCGUGCAAAUAGAUUUUUAAUGUCAGUUUGAUUGCAAUUCUAAGGUUGAAAAAAUAAGUUAAUCUUCAAUUUUACCUGUAUAAGAAUGAUUUUU